rnacentral:rRNA from 1 species
GGCAACGAUUGGUAGCCGACCUGAGAGGGUGAUCGGCCACAUUGGAACUGAGAUACGGUCCAGACUCCUACGGGAGGCAGCAGUGGGGAAUAUUGGGCAAUGGGGGCAACCCUUACCCAGCAAUGCCGCGUGAGUGAAGAAGGUCUUCGGAUUGUAAAGCUCUUUGAUUGGGGACGAAACAAAUGACGGUACCCAAAAAACAAGCCCCGGCUAACUAUGUGCCAGCAGCCGCGGUAAUACAUAGGGGGCAAGCGUUGUCCGGAAUAACUGGGCGUAACGGGUGUGUAGGCGGUAUAGUAAGUUGGAAGUGUAAUACCUAGGGCUCAACUCAGGUGCUGCUUCCAAAACUGCUAAACUUGAGUAUCGGAGAGGAAAGUGGAAUUCCUAGUGUAGCGGUGGAAUGCGUAGAUAUUAGGAGGAACACCAGUGGCGAAAGCGACUUUCUGGACGAUCACUGACGCUGAGGCAUGAAAGCGUGGGUAGCAAACAGGAUUAGAUACCCUGGUAGUCCACGCUGUAAACGAUGAAUACUAGGUUUAGGGGGUAUCGACUCCCCCUGUACCGAAGCUAACGCAUUAAGUAUUCCGCCUGGGGAGUACGACCGCAAGGUUGAAACUCAAAGGAAUUGACGGGGACCCGCACAAGCAGCGGAGCAUGUGGUUUAAUUCGAAGCAACGCGAAAAACCUUACCAAGACUUGACAUAGUAUGACCACUAUAGAGAUAUAGCUUUCCCUUCGGGGACAUAUAUACAGGUGGUGCAUGGUUGUCGUCAGCUCGUGUCGUGAGAUGUUGGGUUAAGUCCCGCAACGAGCGCAACCCUUAUGAUUAGUUGCCAAUAUUAAGUUAGGAACUCUAAUCAGACUGCCGUGGAUAACACGGAGGAAGGUGGGGAUGACGUCAAAUCAUCAUGCCCCUUACGUCUUGGGCUACACACGUGCUACAAUGGCUAUUACAAAGAGCUGCUAAAUGGUAACAUCAAGCGAAUCUCAUAAAAAUAGUCUCAGUUCGGAUUGUGGGCUGCAACCCGCCCACAUGAAGUUGGAGUUGCUAGUAAUCCCGAAUCAGAAUGUCGGGGUGAAUGCGUUCCCGGGUCUUGUACACACCGCCCGUCACGCCACGGAAGUUGGGGGGACCCAAAGUCGGCAAGCUAACCGCAAGG